GAUUCCCCUAGUAACUGCGAGUGAAGCGGGAAAAGCUCAAAUUUAAAAUCUGGUGGCCUUUGUCCAUCCGAGUUGUAAUUUAGAGAAGCGUCUUCCGCGCUGGACCGUGCACAAGUCUCCUGGAACGGAGCGUCAUAGAGGGUGAGAAUCCCGUCUUUGGCACGGACACACCAGGGCUUUUGUGAUGCGCUCUCAAAGAGUCGAGUUGUUUGGGAAUGCAGCUCAAAAUGGGUGGUGAACUCCAUCUAAAGCUAAAUAUUGGCGAGAGACCGAUAGCGAACAAGUACCGUGAGGGAAAGAUGAAAAGCACUUUGGAAAGAGAGUGAAACAGUACGUGAAAUUGUUGAAAGGGAAACGCUUGAAGUCAGUCGCGUCGCCCGAGACUCAGCCUUGCCUCGGCUUGGUGUACUUCUCGGCUGACGGGUCAGCAUCAAUUUUGCCCCUUGGAUAAUGGCGAGGGAAAUGUGACACCUUUACGGGUGUGUUAUAGUCUCUCGUCGCAUGCAAGGGUCGGGAUUGAGGAACUCAGCACGCGCCCUCGGGCGUCGGGGCAACUGCCCACGAUACGUGCUUAGGAUGUUGGCGUAAUGGCUUUAAACGACCCGUCUUGAAACACGGACCAAGGAGUCUAACAUGCCCGCGAGUGUUCGGGUGGAAAACCCGUGCGCGCAAUGAAAGUGAAAGUUGGGACCUCUGUCGUGGAGGGCACCGACGCCCGGACCAGACCUUCUGUGACGGAUCUGCGGUAGAGCGUGUAUGUUAGGACCCGAAAGAUGGUGAACUAUGCCUGAAUAGGGUGAAGCCAGAGGAAACUCUGGUGGAGGCUCGUAGCGAUUCUGACGUGCAAAUCGAUCGUCAAAUUUGGGUAUAGGGGCGAAAGACUAAUCGACC
rnacentral:rRNA from 1 species